rnacentral:rRNA from 1 species
UGAGGACUUAGCAGAGAUGCUUUGGUGCCUUCGGGAACUCUGAGACAGGUGCUGCAUGGCUGUCGUCAGCUCGUGUUGUGAAAUGUUGGGUUAAGUCCCGCAACGAGCGCAACCCUUAUCCUUUGUUGCCAGCGGUUAGGCCGGGAACUCAAAGGAGACUGCCAGUGAUAAACUGGAGGAAGGUGGGGAUGACGUCAAGUCAUCAUGGCCCUUACGAGUAGGGCUACACACGUGCUACAAUGGCGCAUACAAAGAGAAGCGACCUCGCGAGAGCAAGCGGACCUCAUAAAGUGCGUCGUAGUCCGGAUUGGAGUCUGCAACUCGACUCCAUGAAGUCGGAAUCGCUAGUAAUCGUGGAUCAGAAUGCCACGGUGAAUACGUUCCCGGGUCUUGUACACACCGAAACC